GGACCAGAAGGGGUGGAGUCUGGCUGCACCUCUCUUAGACCCCAUUUAAGGUCUGACUGCCACUAGAGGAGGUGAAGCUUUUUCCUGUGAGCUUGGGAUCUUCUUGUAUGGAGAAACAACCUCGUGGUGUGGAAGAUCAGGCGCAUGCUGGCUGCCUGAUGAUGGAGAUGAGAUCAGAGCAACAGGCUGGAGGAGCUGCCUCACACUGUGCUGCAUCCAUCUGACUUGAGGUGCCUGAAACAAAACUUCAUUGCUGAGCUACAGAGAUUAAGGGAAGGGAUUUCAUUUGCUUGCUGCAGUUUGAUGCAGCAUCCUCAAGGGCCCCAGAACCUGCAUGGAAACAUGGAGGAGAGGAGAGGAAAGAGGAAAUAACCUUUACAGAAAGAAAUGAACAAGUGACCUCAAGGACGAAAGAAUACUCUUCUGCCAAUUCAAGAAAACGAUAUUCAAGAUAACGGAUGAGGUGUUACAGACCCUAGGUGAAUUCAAGUUUGCAUUAUAACCAUCUUUACCAAAGAUCUUUAUCAUGCUACAGACUACAUUUUAAGAACAAUGCCUGAAAUAAAGAUGGAAAGAAAUACUUUAAUACUGUUAUUUCCUCUAAAUAAGAUCACAGAAUCAUUGAAUCAUAAAAGGUUGGGAAAGGACCUCUAAGAUCAUCAGUUCAGCCAUCAGCCAUCACCACCGUGCCCACUUUGGAGGAUGCCAAAGCAGACACGGAACUGAACUGCAGUCUCAGAUUAGGAUACAUCAUGCUUUUAGAAUUAUUAUUCUCUCCUGAUUCACCUUGUUGCAACUGCAAUAAUACCGGUACUCGCAGAAGGGAGAUCAAGAAGAGAUCAUUACAAGUGGGGCAUUUAUUUCUUCUCUGCCAUCAAAGAGAUGAGCCUCUGGACAGCAAAUUUAGUGGUAUUUUAAAGGAUACAGAUGCAUAGCACUGCCCAUCUCUUCUUUCUGCAAUAUAACAGCAGUGGAAAGUUCAGCUGAGAGAACAAACUUUGCAAAGAUAUCUCACUCCUGUAGGACACUGAAAUAGUUGUCUACAUGAUGAUGUGGGACUCAGAGCCAUGCCCUAGAAGAGAAGGGUAUAUACCUUGUCUUUUCUCAUUCUUACAAAGAAAGAUCAAGAUACAUUCAUAUGUGACUUUUGAUAAUUCAAGGAAGAAAACUUCAAAUGCUCAGGUGUUUGAUCUUUAGAUUUUUAUAUCCUACCAAAAGCACAGGAUUUAUAAGCAUUCCUUCAGCCCUAGAUGGACUCUUCUCUACUUUUCAUAUAUUAUUCCAGUAAUGGAGGAAGCCUUUCUUUUGUUGAGAAAACGAAUGUAAAAGAGUAGAAGAUUUACACAAGAAACAAACUUGUAAAGAUGGCAUCCUGGGGUUCCCCAUUUAUUACACUGCAAUUGCUUCUAGAUCAAACCUGUUCAGUUCAGAAUUAAAAGGAUGGGUUUGCUGCUGUCCAUCGCCGAGAGCUCUACAAAAGUAAAGCCAGAUAUUUUCUGGGUCAUACUCUCUAAAAAUAAACCACAAUGGGAAUGUUGAAAAAAAAACAGCUAACUUACAACAUGUGAGUCAGAACUCCAGUCACCUUUCGCUUCUACAGGACUAAGAAAAACCCCUCAAGUGCAGCAAUAGGUUAUUUAAAGACCAAAGUAAAUAGAUCUGACUGCAAGCAGACACAGGAAACAGAUCAAUGUCUCAUGACGAUGAAAUCUGUGCAGUAAGUUUUGACAAGAGCCACAUGCUGGGGUUCAUCCAACAGGGAUCUUUCCACCAGCUAUUUGUUGAAGCCUAUAAAGAUGCAGAUCAGUUCCAGUUGAUGCAGGGAAGUGAUUUUUUUUUCAUACAUCCUAUAAAGUUUUAUAUUUUUGGUGGGGAGAGUAAAGUUGCAUGAAUGCAUAGUAUUUUUGCAGGCAGAUAUAGCCUUAUUCCAAUCCUACCUCACACUUUCAACCUUUUAUCUCUUAGAGUUGCUCCCAUACCAGUCCUAGUUACAUGACUUCCAGUUUGCUUAGAUCAGGGCAGAGACAGGCUAUGUGUGCUUGUCAAACACAAAUACAUGCUAGAACCUGCAGCUAGAGUCCAGGAAAAGGCCUUUGACAUAACAAACAUAUUAUGUAGUUCAAGACCACCACAGCUCCAAGCUGUACUACUGCCAUGACUUCAGAUUGUUGCUGUGAUGCUUUUUAUGGGGAUUUGAUGACAUUAGCUAGAACUAAUGUGAUAUUUUCCUAAGUGAGUGCAGGCAUACUACACUCUGGAGGGGACAACCAACCCUUCAGGCCCUUCCUGUAUUCCACUGUUCUCCAUGAAUAUUAGAGAUGAAAUUUUUGUACACAUUUACAGUAGCAAUCAUGUGAACCCGAGCUCAUUUCCACAAACAAAGCAUGCCCAAUCAACAGUCUCGGUUUUUUUUCCUGCUUUAUGGAUUUUAUUGCAAUGAUUUUGCGGAAGAGGUACAGGUGGGUUUUGCAAUCCUGCUGGGCCCCACAGUAGAGACUCACACAACAAAGGCUUGCAGGUGUUUCCUAUAUCUUUGUGGUUAUUUCUUUCAAACAGCAUCUGUUGAAAUGCAUCUUGCCUCCUGCUUAAAAGAACCCCAUUGCUUGGCAAUGCAGGGUGUUUGCUUUAGCUUUAACUGCCCACCCACACUGAACAUUUUAUGUUACUUAGGUUGACCGGGGGCACAAUGAGAGUCUUUAACAAGCAAGACUUCCCUUCGGGUGGGAGGCUCUGGAGGGGGAAAGGUGACCCAGAGAUGUGGUAACAUUUUUCACCUCCGCUUCUCUUUCCAGUCGGGCAGCCCCGUCAUAGUUGGCACUGACCACACUACCACCUGCCGCGUCCCAGCAGAAAUCUACACAAAACCUGGCUUGUCUUUGGGUAAUUGCACUUGUAAAGUAGAAGCAACUCACUUAAGCGUUACAGGCAGCAUCUUAUUAAGCACCUCAUGAUGCAUAGAAUUAAGACAACUAAAAGAAAAUGUCCAAAAAUGCUUCCAUGCAGUUUGUGACCACAGCUGACAUGUGUCUGGUGACUCUUCCUGGGUGAUGAGUCCAUAGUUCCCAUGGCCCUUUGGAAAACAUCAAAUUUAACUUUAUUUUGCUUCAAUAGUAACUACUAAUGUUGUGUUGACCAAUCAAAAGAGGACAGAUGGUCAGAGCAAGACCUAGAAAAACAGACCCAAACACAUCUAGCAUGAAGUAGAUGUAGGUUAAGCAUUAUUUGGUUCUGAAUUCUCAGCAUGAGCUAUAACUAGCUAUAACUAAAAUUCUCUGGGCAAACUGAUCUAGAUGUGGUGUCCCUGUUCAUUGCAAGGGGAGCUGGACUAAAUGUAGCUCUGUUACAACUCUAAGGAUUCUAUGAUUCCACAAUUAUUCUAAUUCUAGGAGUCAGGUGGUUUUAAUAUUGUAGUGGAAAUGCCGAGUCAUGGCCUGAAGCAGUGAUUGAGCACCUGGUGGGAAGGCAGGGCCAACCCAGGGGAGCUCAGGUGUAUGCAAUGCAGCUGAGUGACUGGAAGGGCUGGAGCCAGGAUCCACCCCUUCCCAGAGGAAGUGUGUUGGCAGCGGAGGCAAGGAUAUCUCCCUGGAGAUUUCUGCUUAUCCCAGUCUUUCCAAAGAGUUGCUCUGUAUCAUUUUUUAACCAAGUUUUGGAUGGAAGAGGUGAAUUAUUGCAGUGCGUACAACUUCAGGCUACACACUCAAUGCUGCCACCCAUAAACACCUUACCUCAUGUUGGAGGACUGGUGACACAAGGCUGUACACAGCAUCAUGCAGGGCUGUGUGAUGACUGAUUCCAGUGAAUGAAAGGUAAUAUUCAUAACCACAGGCUCUUGACCUGGUAGUGACCCACUCACUCUCCUUUUAAGAGGCUUCUAUGAGGGGGGGAACCCACACCAGAGUACUUGUUUGGGUAGUUUUCUAAGAAGCACAGGGACUCCCAUUAGCCUUGAAAGACAUUUUCCUGAGUCUAAGCAAGGUUUCUAUAUUUUUUGUGGACUCAUUAUACCUUUGUAGUUAAAUUAACCAGAAUAGCUUUCAGAUGCCUGUGCAGUCAUUUAGGAACAAUAGCCGCCAUUCUGUCCUGAGAUGCACUAAAACCAUGCAACAGCUCUUUCUGUUGUAUGAAAGCAAAGGUAGUGCUUGAGUGGUCUGGAUGAACGCAGAAACACUUGGAACAAUAUAACCUAGGGGUUACCUCAGUCAUCUUAAACACCACAAAAUCUCUCCUGCAUGGCUGUAAUUAGAAAAACAGCACAAGACAAAGGAGCUAAAGAACUAUCAGUGGGAAAGUUAAUUCAGGUAAAAUCCAAUGAGAGAUUGUGGAACUGAAUUGACUGUAAAGGCAGAUGGUUUAAACUUCACAGAUCUCACUGAUAGAACAACAAACAGAAGACGAAGAAAAACAGUAUGGGAAAUACACAAGUUCACACUGUUGGAAUAUGAAUUGAAAGCAGGUAUCCAAAGGUGGUAGAGUCACUGAAAGGGCAUUUUUACACACAUUCCCCUCAGAGGAAAUCCUAUUGUUAUUUCUGAGUGAGUCAGUCAGGGCUUAUUCCAAAGAAUGAGCACAUGUGUUGCUGAAAGCCUUCCCAGUGAAAUGCAAUGAAGAUGGAGUAAUUAGGGUGAUGGGCACCAGCUGAGGUCUGGGCAGUGCCUUGAUUCUGCCAUGCGAGGCUCUGCCACCCAGCUGCACCCAGCAGCUGCAUGGGCAAGGUGUUUUGUCUCUGGGCUUUAUGCUUUGAUUGAUGUGUGGCAAAGGUCUGUACUUAGCAGAGUGGGAGACAGAAGAGGAAUUAAGCAAAAAAUGUAAGGAUUUGGGGGGCUUUCAAUACAGGUUUGAAAAGGAGAGAAAAGAAAAUGCAGAAAGACAAGAAAAUUCCUCAACAUGUUAGAACAUAACCAAAGAUCUAUAUGAACAGAAUACGCAGCCAUUGCAUGGUUCAAGUCAGCCAGUUUGUUCAGGCUUUGAUAAGAACUAUGCUGCUUCAGUAAUGUGAAAAGCAAAAUGUGUAAUGUCUACUGCUAUUGAAAUGGGUUCCCCCUAAAAGUUCAUGCAUAUUGUUUUUAAUUUGCUCUUGAUUAAUUUUGUCUUAUCUCCCACCUGUCAGCCAUGAAAACCAACUUACUCCAUUGAAGUCCUUUGUAAGUAACUUUGAAGUAACUUUGUGAAGAACAAGUUUCCGAGCAAGCCCUCUCCAUAACAAUGUUACAUUUACAUUGUGUGGCACCACAAACAAUGCUUUGUGCUUUCCCUAUUUUGGAGCUUUGUGAGCAGAAUGUCUGGACCUGCAGAUGUUCACCCUCCUCCUUGAUCCUGAAAGGAGCAAGUUCACACAGUGCUCAGAGUAUCACCAAACGAAGAAGGGAUUGUCUGCAGAGAAGGGGUCUGGACGGAAGAGAAAGGGACAGUAGAAAAUGGGUCUGUUUUGUCAGACUGGAUGUGUUCAAAGAAUCAGCCUGAUCUCAUGUUCCAAGAAUGAAACCCUGGCAUGGAAGUGGCAUAUCUGCUAGUGAAUGUCAACAUUUGAUGUGCAGUCAGAGAGCAAACAGGAUUUCACACUGUACUUUCAUCUGCUGACCUGCCCACUCCAGCUGAGCGUUACACAAGAGAAGACUCUCCCUGGACUAUGAAAUCCAACAAACAUCUCUCAACAGAAAUACAGGCUUGUGGAUCAGAAGUUACGAAUUAUUUCCAGUACAUAAUGUAAGAGACAGAAUCCAUCUUCACAUUGAAUAAUUACUGCCAGAGCUGAAUCAGAAACUGCCAAAGUUGCAGGAAAGAAUCCAACCCUUUUCUACAAAGAUUCAAAGCAAAUAUGAAUUCCCUUCCCUUUCCAUUUUCCUUUCCCUUCCCUUCCACCACAACCCCUUUCACUUCAUUCCCUUUGAAUAACUUACUAUGAAUGAAUGUAGUGAGGGAAUGGUACACAAGGAAUCUUUGGGCAAAUCCUCAGCAGUUUCAAUUGGCUGCAGUAAAGCUACACUCAGUUACAUCCUGAAGAUGCACCACAGCGGAUGUGAAAAGCUCUCUUGGAGAUUAUUCACCUCGUAUGAAUGCAACUGUUCCCAUCAGCUAUCUCAGCUUAAAGAUUUUGGUUAUUGAGUCAGGGGACAGAACAAUGGUGUGGGAUUGAGCCCAAGCAAUUAACUCUUCCCUCAACUUUAUUACUGAAUCCUGAACUGGAAUCCCACAGAGAACCUGUAACAAUCUUAUUCAGAUCAAAGCUCCCACUUUUUAAAUAAUGAGAAGUUUGGAAAACAAAAUCAAACAGCAGCCUAUGAUUCACACACAGAAAUUUUAUGAAAACCACAAAAUCAAAAGGCCCGUAAUUGAGGCCUUUCAACCCAACCAAAUAUUCAUCCCGAGAUAAUUACUGCCAUAAAACCCUCUGCCACAGAGACACCGACUAGAAAACCUUUGAAUUGCACACAGACAUUAAGGAAGGAGCUGGCUGGGAUGUAACCCUGCUGAGACCUGAAAUGGAGGAAAAGAUCUGGGGGGAAACAAGCCUUCAGUGCAAGUCAGUCCUCUGUAAAAACAUGUCGCCAUUGAGAAGACUCAAUAACAAGAAAAGACUGGGAAAGAUUUGCCAGGAGCAAACCAGGUACUCUUAUAAGUAAGAACCAAACAGCACUGUGCGUCACAUGGGUUAAAUGCCAUGAGUAACGUCAUCAAUUGGUAUCUUGAAGAACAGACGAGUCAACAGCCAGCAAUGCAACUGAUUAAAACCAAAAUUAGGUUGUUUCUAAUUCAUGGUGCAUGAAGUGCUACAAAUAAAAUGAGGGCAACUCUUGCAGCAAUGCAAUGCUCAGUCCCUGCCAUAGUCCUGCCUCACAAAUAGUGGUUUGGUUUUAUGGUUGUUGGCCAAUAUCUGAAAUGGUAGAAUUUCCAGACUGGAAGGGAUCCACCAGAACUAUUAAGUCCAACUCCUGUUCAUUCUCAAUGAUUAAGAAGCUUUAGACUGUCAAAUAAGUACAGUUACAAAGUUCUCCAAAGAGAUUACUGAUUAUUAUUGCUAAGGGCUUUCAGAUCAAAUGGCUUUAAGGCAACUAUUAUGGAAAAAUCUGUAUGAAAAGGGCUAUGCUCAACAGCAACUACCUUUGUCAGUACAGACAUAUUUCAUAAUGGUUGCAUGGGUAAUCAAAUCUCUCCACAAACAAAUGCAAUUGUUGAAGUUUUGAAAUAAAACAAUUAUGGCUCUCUUUGUUUUCUGAUCAAGUCAACGAUUUACAUUGAAAGACAGAUAUGCAGUUAAUAUACAAUGAGGCCUUUGUGAUAUUACUAUCAGUAUUCUGCAUAUUAUGCUAGGUUAUAUGGGUAGGUACUGAACUGAUGCAGCCCAGCCCUGUACCCCAGCUUUGUUGCUGGAUCACAACUUAGGCUGAGGGAAGGCAGUUCAUUUCUUAGACCUUUUUAUAAGAUGAAAGCAAAGAAAAGACUGAAUCAGUGAACCCAGGACAGCUUUAGGAAAGAGCUCCCCUGACAUCACCAGUUUACAUCAUCUUUGUUUAUGCAAGCAAUUUAUUAUUCUCCUGGGGUGCAACUUCUGUCAGUCUGAGCUGGCUUCAGACUAGAUUUGCAAGUGAGAGAUUCAGCAAUACUCAUUGCUCAGAGCAUCUCACUGCCUCCUCAAGGUCAUGGGCAAACAAGUACAAAGUGAGCACCACCACAGAAAGAUGAGGUAAAGCAGCCUUUAGAAGCUGAGCAACCUGUUCCAGUGGUUGGGAGAGUAAUUUCAACGUGGGACUCACCAUGGGCUUUCUCACAGCUUUCUACUAUUAGCUGAAGAAUUCUAUCUAGCAAACAAGAUGCUUUGUGUUAAGUGCAGAUUUCCCCAUAGCCACCAACCACUGAAAGCUCCAAGGGGAUACACACCUGGUACAAAGAAACCAUGUCCUUCACUGAGCUGGCUCUCAGAAACACCACAGACUCUCAUCACUAGUAACAAGUAUUAGAUGCUUCUAACAAAAGAAUAAAUCUCUUUCUCUGCUGAUUUGAGCAUGUAGGGGUGGAUUCCUGCUGAACUGCUCUGCAUUCAGAUCUGUCUCAGGUAGGGCUGGAAGUAUCGUUACCUGUCUGCAGGUUGGAUGAGAGGCAGCUCUGGGUGGGUUCUCUCCAAAGAGGAUGGCACCAUGUAGUCAGGAGACACACAGCAGGGUGCAAGAGUUAGGAAGCUAUAAAAACAACAAUAUUCAUUAAUUAAUUAAGCAUAUCUGUUAUCUAAAACACAUAGAUACUUUGGCUGGUUGUGCUUUCAAUGCUUUUGGCUUACUUAAAAAUGCUCAAAUCACACUGAAACUCACAGCCAGCUAUUUGCUGUGCACCAGAAAUGCCCAUUGCAGCAGUGCUGAGGUAUGUAAAUCUCAAAGCUGUCAGAAAGAACUUUUCCUGUUGUAAAUUUUCUGUGCUCCUUUCUUCCUCCCACACACACAGAAUCAGCUUCUGUGAUCCACGGUGCCUCGCAGGAGGGCUGCCAGCAGUUCACCAUAGGUUAUUGGCAUAAGCAUCCUCUGAUCUUCCAGGUCAGUGCAGAAACACUGCUUUCAACACCUGAACACUUGUGAUUUCUGUGCUCAGUAUAUUCUAGUAAGCAAACCCCCCCCCUUUAUUGUAAAUAAUGAAUGAUUAAGAAACAGUUGUUCAAGACAGAAAUAGAGCAAAUUAGACUGGGCUACAGCCAGCCAUCUAACUGUAAGAGAUCUAACUGUCUGCAUUUGAGGCAAGGUAAUGCUUGAAACUGUACUUAUUAUGCACUUUCAAGCAUUUACGCAUCGAGCCAAAGCAGAUUUCAAGCAAGGGUUAGGCUGUGCUAACCCCUAACCCCAUCUCCAACUUCUUAUCGUACUGUAAGAAUCCUGGAUGUCCUCAAUAUCCUCCUUCCCUCCCCGAGCAGCCUGCAGCCACUCAUAAAUCACACCGAAAUCUGCUUCUCCUGCCUGGCUGGUUCCUUAGGGCCGCCCUGCUUCGAGGACAGAAUUAGUGGGAAAAUGCAGCACACCCCUUGGAACGCAUUCAGUCGCUGCAUGCAUGACUGUCCUCAUUCCCAUAGCUCUGCUGCCCUCUCCUGUAUGAACUGGAAACUGACGGUAUGGGAAAUUCUGGGAGGGUUUCAAUGAAAUAUCGCAUUCUUGUGGCUUUCAGCAGGGAUUUGGUUAUACCCUGAGCUGAGGACAGGAGUUGGAGGAUAAGCAAAAGUAAAGUUGGGAACGGGAAGGGAUUGUGAGAGCUUCUGAAUGCUAAGAGGGGAGAGUAAAUAUAAUAACAAUAGAAAAUAGAAAACAGCAGAAUUAUGGAGAAAAACAAACUUAUAUAAAACUUCAUUGAAAAUGAAAACGUGGUGGAAUCACCAAGAGAAGAACGCCCUUCGCCCCUAAUUCUGUGGUGAGGAGUUUGCCUGCAGAGCAGUCAGAAAGGAUAAACAGAUGAUUUCAGUUGAGUUCAAAGAAUGUCUCUUGGCUUUUUGAUGAGACGGUUGUGGCAUACAAUAAUAAUAUAAAAGCUGUAUGUUAGCAAAGUCCUACUGGGAGCAAAAGCUGCUACCAGAAAAUAUCGCAUUCCGGACCGGGUGAUCGCUGACAAAUCGCCUUCCUGUUCUCCUGGUGUUGGAAAGCUGCUUUUUCUUGCCACGCAUCUCAGCUUGGUUUUAAUCAAAACCAGGCAUAAGUUGGGAGAGUGGAAAAAGAAAGCAGAUUGCUGAGGUAAACCGCAGAGCAGAGCUGGAAGAAACUGUCAUAAAGAAAAGGCUUUGGCUUGAUAAGCAUUCAAGAACUACUUUUCUAAAGGGAAGGGAGAAGGAAAACACUUCUUUUUUUUUACAGUUUGAAAAAAUAUCUGUGCCUGCCUUCCUUUCUAAUCUGUAGGGAAAGGGACACAUUUUUCUGCAGUAUAUUUCUGCAGCUCCUAUUGGCAAGUUGUAUAGCAUAGAAACCAGCAAAAACCAGUGCUGAUAACUCAGUGGAAAGUCCUCAGACUGUGGAACUAACACUUACACUUUGGGGGCGACAGGAAUUUAAGCUGCACGGUCACCUGGUGGUUGUCUCUUCCCAACUCAUAACAACUUCUUUUCUUCACAAGGGCUGAGGAGACAGCAAAACAAGAGAAGGCACUGAAAAGGUCAGAGUUCUCUAUUGGAGGAGGCUGGGAGCAUUGAAACUGAUAAAUAAUUUCACUGUGUUCCAAUCUUCCAUUCUGCAUCAAAACCAGAAUCGAUUUCAGAUCUUACCUUCCUGGAAAGUCAAGAAUAAUCUGCUGAAAAGGUCGAUUAGAUAUUCUAUUAAAAGCUCUGUAUCUGUUAAAAUGGCACAGGGUAAACACAAGAGAAAUCCUCUCAUACACGUGAAGAGCAGUCUUAUUUUCACACGCUAUCAGAAAGUCAUAAAUGGAUCAAUGGGAGCAAUACAGCUGUCACAGUAUUACCUGAAAUUGGGUUCCACACUAAAUGAUUCUGCUUGGAUUAUCAGAGCCACGAAGCAUGUUUUUAAGCUUCAUAGAAUCAUUAAGGUUGGAAAGUUCACUCAGAUCAACAAGUCCAACCAUGAACCCACAUCUCUGACCACUCAGAUCAUGUGACAUGUAGGGUAAGACCUCAGCACAAUCAAGACAAGCUUAGUUACCUUUCUCAUCUGAUCUUUCAGACUCAGUACAGAAAUGUUAGGUACCUCCUUUCACUGCAUCAAACAGUUGAUAUGCCGCAUUAAGCAAACUAUACUGCAUUCCAGCACUUCCCAUACUCAGCAGUGUAGGGAAAUUGCGCCUAAUACAAAUGAAGGGUGAUCACUUCCCCCUCUAAAAGCAGCCAUGAGCAACAUUCCAUGUCCAGAAGGCAAAAUAACAAUUACACCAUCAGCAUUCAAUCCAAUGGCAACAGAUGACAUUUCUGCAUUAAAUACAGACACACGGAUUUAGAAAGAUUUUUUUCUUUUAUUACUAAGAUUGCACUUCUAUCUAAAGAAACUUUUAGAUCAAUUCCACGCUGUAUUUUCAUCAUAAAAGUUUCAUUAGGGAAUAGUACAUGGCAUUCUGCACCUUCACACUAUAUAGAAACAUUCAGUAUCAAAAGGCCUUUGCCAGAGACCCAACAAUAAACCAUUCUGUGUAAUCACUGAAGUCUGAGUGUGCUUAUAUUAAGUCUCUGGUGUCCCCCUCCCACACUACUGCUAUUGAAAUCAAGCAGAACUCAGGAGUGCUGUUGUAGCCAAUGCCUGCCUGAAUUUAGCCCACUGAUAAUGACAUUUAAUCUUGCUUAACUUCACUGUGCACCAGCUAAUACUUAAGGCAAAUUUCUUUGUAUACUAUUUUUCCCACGUAAGUAUGUAAGCAUCAUACAUAAGACACUGAACAUCUUUAGUAACGUAUAUAAAAUGUGGGAGAACCUAUGUAAGAUACAUUACCUUAUCUACACAAAACAUUCACUUUUAGAGCAACGAAACAUCUUCAAUUUGUAUAAGAACCAUCAUUAUGGGAAAUUCAAACUUUCCGUGUGUUUUCAGAAAUGCUAUGCUGGAUUUUAAUUAAAAGGUUUACAGAGCUGAAGAGAGGUAACAAAGCUACUGCUCCUAUAAGAAGGAAGGUGGGAUGUGCAUUAACAAACCUUCAAGCAGAAGAAGAAUCAAAGACACAAUUACGUUAAGCAGUAAAGUCAUGAAUUACAUUCAGAUGGGAAACUUCUUACACGAUACAGUUCUUCUGACUACUGCAUACUGAACUUCAUCAGCUCCAACAACUCCCUUUAAAUAAGUAACCUGUUAAUCCAAGACUUAUUUUCGCAUGCCAUCGUCUUCCAUUUGCAAAUGCAGUCUAACCUUAGAUUUUGCAACUGAAGAGUGGAUGCUUUCAGUCAAACAGUAAUAGAUAGAAAAGACACUUGUAAUGUGAGGAACAAUAAUGAAAACAAACACAUCAACACUGAAACACUGUGGGAAGCUGUUUUGAUCCUGCUGAAAUACUGGCACAAAAAUGAAGAGAUGCUGUCAGUAGCAUCCUUAAGUAUAUGGACCACAAGGUGUGCUAUCAUAUAAA